rnacentral:rRNA from 1 species
CAGAAGGCACACCCGGAGAACUGAAACAUCUUAGUACCCGGAGGAAGAGAAAGAAAAUUCGAUUCCCUUAGUAGCGGCGAGCGAAACGGGAAGAGCCCAAACCAACAAGCUUGCUUGUUGGGGUUGUAGGACACUCUAUACGGAGUUACAAAGGACGACAUUAGACGAAUCAUCUGGAAAGAUGAAUCAAAGAAGGUAAUAAUCCUGUAGUCGAAAAUGUUGUCUCUCUUGAGUGGAUCCUGAGUACGACGGAGCACGUGAAAUUCCGUCGGAAUCUGGGAGGACCAUCUCCUAAGGCUAAAUACUCUCUAGUGACCGAUAGUGAACCAGUACCGUGAGGGAAAGGUGAAAAGCACCCCGGAAGGGGAGUGAAAUAGAACCUGAAACCGUGUGCUUACAAGUAGUCAGAGCCUGUUAAUGGGUGAUGGCGUGCCUUUUGUAGAAUGAACCGGCGAGUUACGAUUUGAUGCAAGGUUAAGCAGUAAAUGUGGAGCCGUAGCGAAAGCGAGUCUGAAUAGGGCGUUUAGUAUUUGGUCGUAGACCCGAAACCAGGUGAUCUACCCUUGGUCAGGUUGAAGUUCAGGUAACACUGAAUGGAGGACCGAACCGACUUACGUUGAAAAGUGAGCGGAUGAACUGAGGGUAGCGGAGAAAUUCCAAUCGAACCUGGAGAUAGCUGGUUCUCUCCGAAAUAGCUUUAGGGCUAGCCUCAAGUGAUGAUUAUUGGAGGUAGAGCACUGUUUGGACGAGGGGCCCCUCUCGGGUUACCGAAUUCAGACAAACUCCGAAUGCCAAUUAAUUUAACUUGGGAGUCAGAACAUGGGUGAUAAGGUCCGUGUUCGAAAGGGAAACAGCCCAGACCACCAGCUAAGGUCCCAAAAUAUAUGUUAAGUGGAAAAGGAUGUGGCGUUGCCCAGACAACUAGGAUGUUGGCUUAGAAGCAGCCAUCAUUUAAAGAGUGCGUAAUAGCUCACUAGUCGAGUGACACUGCGCCGAAAAUGUACCGGGGCUAAACAUAUUACCGAAGCUGUGGAUUGUCCUUUGGACAAUGGUAGGAGAGCGUUCUAAGGGCGUUGAAGCAUGAUCGUAAGGACAUGUGGAGCGCUUAGAAGUGAGAAUGCCGGUGUGAGUAGCGAAAGACGGGUGAGAAUCCCGUCCACCGAUUGACUAAGGUUUCCAGAGGAAGGCUCGUCCGCUCUGGGUUAGUCGGGUCCUAAGCUGAGGCCGACAGGCGUAGGCGAUGGAUAACAGGUUGAUAUUCCUGUACCACCUAUAAUCGUUUUAAUCGAUGGGGGGACGCAGUAGGAUAGGCGAAGCGUGCGAUUGGAUUGCACGUCUAAGCAGUAAGGCUGAGUAUUAGGCAAAUCCGGUACUCGUUAAGGCU